AUUGCUUGCCGGCCUUUUGGCUGAGAUUAAGUGUAGUAUCUGUUCUGAUCAAUUUAAUACCUGAAGACAAUAUAUUAAAUGCAUUUUUGGAGCAGGGAGAUGAAAUAGGAGCUUCCUCCAUCCACUGCACGCAUUGACCUGGUAUUGCAUUAGCAGGAAUGGUGCACCCUCU
rnacentral:snRNA from 1 species